rnacentral:rRNA from 1 species
UGAGUAACCUGCCCUUAACUCUGGGAUAAGCCUGGGAAACUGGGUCUAAUACCGGAUAUGACUCCUCAUCGCACGGUGGGGGGUGGAAGGCUUUAUUGUGGUUUUGGAUGGACUCGCGGCCUAUCAGCUUGUUGGUGAGGUAAUGGCUCACCAAGGCGACGACGGGUAGCCGGCCUGAGAGGGUGACCGGCCACACUGGGACUGAGACACGGCCCAGACUCCUACGGGAGGCAG